rnacentral:tRNA from 1 species
GCUCGCUUGGUGAAAUUGGUAAACACAACAGACUUAAAAUCUGUAUCCUAGCAGGAUUAUCGGUUCAAGUCCGAUAGCGAGCA